GACGAACGCUGGCGGCGUGCUUAACACAUGCAAGUCGAACGGAAAGGCCCUGCUUGCAGGGUACUCGAGUGGCGAACGGGUGAGUAACACGUGGGUGAUCUGCCCUGCACUUCGGGAUAAGCCUGGGAAACUGGGUCUAAUACCGGAUAGGAGCCAUUUUUAGUGUGAUGGUUGGAAAGUUUUUUCGGUGUAGGAUGAGCUCGCGGCCUAUCAGCUUGUUGGUGGGGUAAUGGCCUACCAAGGCGGCGACGGGUAGCCGGCCUGAGAGGGUGGACGGCCACAUUGGGACUGAGAUACGGCCCAGACUCCUACGGGAGGCAGCAGUGGGGAAUAUUGCACAAUGGGCGCAAGCCUGAUGCAGCGACGCCGCGUGGGGGAUGACGGCCUUCGGGUUGUAAACUCCUUUCGCUGGGGACGAAGCUUUUUGUGACGGUACCUAGAGAAGAAGCACCGGCUAACUACGUG
rnacentral:rRNA from 1 species